rnacentral:rRNA from 1 species
CCUACGGGUGGCAGCAGUCGAGAAUCAUUCACAAUGGGGGAAACCCUGAUGGUGCGACGCCGCGUGGGGGAAUGAAGGUCUUCGGAUUGUAAACCCCUGUCAUGUGGGAGCAAAUUAAAAAGAUAGUACCACAAGAGGAAGAGACGGCUAACUCUGUGCCAGCAGCCGCGGUAAUACAGAGGUCUCAAGCGUUGUUCGGAAUCACUGGGCGUAAAGCGUGCGUAGGCUGUUUCGUAAGUCGUGUGUGAAAGGCGCGGGCUCAACCCGCGGACGGCACAUGAUACUGCGAGACUCGAUGAAUGGAGGGGGAAGCGGAAUUCUGGGUGUAGGAGUGAAAUGGGUAGA